rnacentral:lncRNA from 1 species
CAGUCAGCCAGUUAUUGGCAAAGUGAAAACACAGACUCAAAGAAUCUAACUCCAAAGCUGUUCAGGACCAGCCAUUUGACACUUAGUGCAAUCCACUGAGCUGGCACAUGAUGGUUGCCGAGGCUAUAGAGGUGAACUAAACAGAAGACUAAGUGUCUACAAGUGGAUGAAAGCACAUAAACAAAUAACUGUAACAGAGUACACAUGUAGGGUUCCUCCCACUAGUCUUGCUCCUUUUAAUGAGGCUGUGAAAAAAAAAAAAAAAUUGAAGAGGUCAAAAGGUGUAUUUUUAAAUGCCUAAGGCUAGUAUCACAGUUCUUGCACCAGGAAAGAUAGUUUAAGUAAAUAACUUUUGAUCUUUGUCCUCAAGGAGCUUAUAGCUUAUUAAAGAAAAUAUCAUGCUUCACUUAUCUAGAAAAUUCACUCACAUGGAACCAUACAGUCUAUUAAAAUAAUAGACAAAAAUUGGUAAUUUUGCUUUUGAGCUUGAUAACUAUUGCCAAGUGUCAGUGAACACAGCUUAUUAAAGAAAAUAUCAGUGCUUCACUUAUCUAGAAAAUUCACUCACAUGGAACCAUACAGUCUAUUAAAAUAAUAGACAAAAAUUGGUAAUUUUGCUUUUGAGCUUGAUAACUAUUCCAAGUGUCUUUGCAAUACAAUGAACACAGUUUCAUCAUGCAUCAGGGACUUCAACUUUCUGAAUGCUGUGUCAACUAAUCACAAUUAAUUGAUAAUCUCCAGAUUUCAACGCCCUUGUUUACUGUGCCUGUCAUGGUAGCCUUCCAUAACUGACUCUCCUCCCAACACCUUCUUACCUUUUUAGUUGAGGAUGGAUUUAAGGUGUGGCCUUCUAUUUCAGGUGAGGGCUUCAGGCAUGUUGGCUAGUUAUUUAGUUUUUCAGGUAUCUCCCAUGUAUAUGUGUUAUUAAAUUUUGUUUGAUUUUUCUGUUUUUAACAAAUAGCCUUUAAAAAGAAAAAAAGAAUGAACAGAACUUCAAUAAGCUAUGGGAGAAUAUACAGAUAUGUGAAAUGUAUGUAAUUGGAGUCCUAGAAUAAAAGUAAAGAAAAUAAUAGUAACCCCCAAAUUUCCGUAUUUUUUUUGUCUUUUUUUUAGGGCCUGCCUCACAGCAUAUGGAGGUUCCCAGGCUAUAAGUCCAAUCGGAACUGCAGCCACUGACCUACGUCACAGCCACAGCAACAUCAGAUCCAAGCCGUGUUUGCGACCUACACCACAGCUCACGGCAAUGCCAGAUCCUCAACCCACUGAGCGAGGCCAGGGAUCGAACCCGCAACCUCAUGGUUCCUAGUCAGAUUCGUUUCCACUGUGCCACAAUGGGAACUCCCUUACUAGGUUUAUAACAGGAAAUAAACAGGAAAUAUUCUACCACCCUUAUUCUAGCUUUGACCAUUUAUCCCUCUGUAAUUAAAAGUACUUUUUGAUUAAACAAUAUUUUCAAAUUUUAAUAGUUCUUCUUACUUGAAAUAGUAAUAUUAACUUUUAUUCAUAAAAUCCUCCUCAUGUACCCAAAAACUGUGACUACUACACAUGAAAGCAAAACAUCAAAAUACAUAAAGGAAAUUUCAAAAGAAAGUCAAGCCAAAAAAAUGGGAUCAUUAACUUGUAAUUAUAUGAGGGUCACUUUGCUGUACAGUAGAAAAUGACAGAACACGGUAAACCAACUACAACAGAAAAAAAUAAGAAUCAUCAAAAAAAAAAGAAGAAAGAAACAAGAAAAGUCAAUGAGUUGUGGAAAGAUAUUUUAUAUUAUUUUUCCUUCAGUAGCUCUUACUUUUGUAUCAUUAUGGGUCUUUUACCAGCAGAAUUUUCUUGGACUUCUUACUUUGUUAUCGAAGCAGUGUUCAAAGCAUGUACACAUAAUCUAUAGGCUUACAUUCAGUGACUCAUUGUUGUUAUAUAUUCAUUGUGUUAAAACAAAUACGCAGUUUCAGAAUGCUCCUCCCUAUCACAUAUUACAAAGGAUUACAUUUUUAAUCCUUCCAUACAAGUUAGAACUCCUGAUUAUUUCUUCAUUCAAAUAAGCAUUUAGAGGGAAAAACCACAAACGCUAAAAGGUGGAAACACACUUCUUAAACAUUGAUUGAAGCAUACCUACCUCUCUCUGCUGAACCAAAGGAUUCCUAUUCCUAGUGCAGUGAGGGCGUAUUUAAUAUUUCACAAUUGUUCUAAAGCCAACAAUCUCUCUAGGACUGCCUUGAAAUCUCUUCAGGCAUCAAUAAACCCCUAAGUUAGGAAUUUACUGGAAGAUCAAUACCCCCAUAUUUUGGUGAUCAUGUAGGAAAGUCCGUUGCUUAGUGGAAGGAACCACAAAAGAAUAAGGGACUAAUUUAGGAAAGGUCAAAUGCUAGAGGACGUGAAGGCUCUAAGUGCUCCAUCUUUCCCCGGUAGAGCUAUUUGCUACUAGGGGGAGGUAGCUGUGGUUUCUCCUCCCCCUCAGUGAUUUUGGCUGAGAAGUCUCAUGGGAGUAAAAAGCCUGGGACCCAUGUUCCCUCCAUUGAGAAUCACAGGGCUUACCCCAAGGGAUGCCAGGCCUUCAGAGCAAAGGCAGGAAAACAGACUUUCCAAGUGGAACUUCACCAUAUGGCAGAUGAGGGUUUCAUAUUCACCAGGCAUAGUGUCACAGACACAGUAUGCAGAGGCUGCCAGAGCUUGUCAAAUAUUACCCUCCAAUUAAGUGCCUUGGAGAAAGUGUCUGUGCAUAAACUGAAAGAGCUGUUGCGUUAAAGUGCUCACUGGGGGCUCGAUACCCUUCUUUGGGGAUUCUUCUGCCUGAGCCUGAUGUGGAGAAGGAAUAUGACCUUUUUCUCACCAUGGACACCUGGGCACAUCUACAUUAGGGUCAGAGGGAACCACAAAGCAAAUACGAUGUAAAGACCUGCAGGUGGGUCAGUUCACCAAGAAACAUUCAUUAACUUCGUCUCCCACCCCCAUCAGCAAGGUGGUAGCAAAGAAGCAUUAAAAGCAUUAAUUCUUGGCUACAACAUGCAUUAAAGGGAACCUUACAAAUACUUACAGCAGGUAAUCACCAAGAAAGAUGAAACACUCCUGUGAAUAAAAGGACUGGAGCCAUGGUAAGCUGUAUAAUAAACAGCAGCUAAGCGUUAUUGGGCCCUUUUCAUAAAGCAAGCAUUGUGUUCCACAUAUAUCAUUAAAUCUUCAAACCAAGCCCAUGAAGUAGGUACAUAAUUACUUCCAUCCAACAAAUGAGGAAAAUUAGGCUUAAUCAAGAUCACACAGCUGGCAACAAUCAGAUUCCAGAAACUAUGCUUUCCACGUGUGCUCUCUGGUAUAGUAACCACUAGUCACAUGUGACCAUUUAAAUUUUAAUUAAAAUUAAAUGAAGUUAAAUUGCUAUUUUCCCAGUUAUACGAGCUACAUUUUAAGUGUUCAAUGGCCACAUAUGGCUAGUGGCUACUGCAUCAGACAGUGCCCACUGAGCGCGGCAUAUGGAGGUUCCCAGGCUUGUGCCAUGGGAAUGGCCCUAAAAAGACAAAAAAAAAAAAAAAAAAAAAAAAAAANAUGUGACCCAUUGUGCUCACAAACUGGGAAGACUGGCAUCCUAUCAGUUAUUUCCAAGUGGUAUAGACACAGCAUAUUCGACCAACAGAGCUCAAGAAGAGUCAGUACUUCCAAAGCACUCUGAAUGAUUCAAAAACUUCUCUCAGAAUGAUUGUAAUCAUUGAUAAAAAAAAAAUCAUUGUGAGAUCUAGAACUUUUUAGCAAAUAUUUUUUUCUUAAUUGUGAAAAGUAUAUCAGAACAUUUCAAAUAAAAUUCUAAGACUCUGGUUCAGCAUGACUUUUCUUAAAAAUAGGAGCACCCACACACUCUGUUGCAGAACUAUUGUUUCUUUAGAAUGAAUGUUUAUGCCGAGACAGAUUUUACAACGCAUACCUUGUUUAAAAAUCUAUCACAAGUUGCAACAAGUAAAUUUUUAAUGCCGUUUAUAUUUUAUUUAUUUAUUUAUUUAUUUUUUGUCUUUUGUCUUUUUGUUGUUGUUGUUGUUGCUAUUUCUUGGGCCGCUCCCGCGGCAUAUGGAGGUUCCUAGGCUAGGGGUCGAAUCGGCGCUGUAGCCUCCGGUCUACGCCAGAGCCACAGCAACGCGGGAUCCGAGCAGCGUCUGCAACCUACACCACAGCUCAUGGCAACGCCGGAUCCUUAACCCACUGAGCAAGGGCAGGGACUGAACCCGCAACCUCAUGGUUCCUAGUAGGAUUCGUUAACCACUGUGCCACGAUGGGAACUCCCGUUUAUAUUUUAAAUAUAAAAUUAACUGGCUAGCUACAGUUCUGGAUCACAAACCCAAGGAACUGUGCUUUCAGAUAACACUACAAAAUAGUCUCUGACUUGUAUUUAAGGGAAUAGCAAAAUCCUUUUUGUGAAGCAGAAUAAUACUUUUCUUCCAGUAAUUUUUAUCAGAAAUGUAUUAAUUUGAUAGAAAAAGGCUUUCUUGUAUUAAAAAAAAAAAAGAUUUUACUUUUAAAUCAACAGAUUUCAUCCCACCACUAUCCCUCACUAAAUUACAGCAUAUGAACCUAGUAUAUUCACACUGCAUAACAAGUUACAUGGUAAAAUCUCUCUGACUUGGCUGUCUAGCUACACUCUUCCCCAAUUCCCCUCCCCACAGCUAAUCAUUUUUUGCAGUUUUUGAUAUGUCAUUCCCAAGACAGUCUAUGCAGACACAGGCCUAGGUGUGUACAUCACUUUUUAAAACACAAAAGGAAAAACGUCACAGUAAUAGUUGGUUCAGGCAAAAUCAUUAAUGGACACUCAAAUUAGUAGACAGGAAAGUACAAUGAGUAAUAGGAUAUUUACAUAGACUCAGCUCCUCAUAAGAUAUAUAUUAAUUUAAAAGGUAAAAUAUAAUAGCUUUACCACGGAGAACCCUGGAAGACUCCACCUUAACCAAGUGAUUAAGUUGACAUCUCCGGUAAAAAAAGGUGACUCGAUAUGUACUGUCAAGUACACAUCACUUCUAUGAUAUUCUGGCCAAAAAAAAAAAAAAAAAAAAAAAAAAA